AUUGAACGCUGGCGGCAGGCCUAACACAUGCAAGUCGAACGAGUGGCGGACGGGUGAGUAAUGUCUGGGACACUGCCCGAUGGAGGGGGAUAACUACUGGAAACGGUAGCUAAUACCGCAUACCAUCGGAUGUGCCCAGAUGGGAUUAGCUAGUAGGUGGGGUAAAGGCUCACCUAGGCGACGAUCCCUAGCUGGUCUGAGAGGAUGACCGGCCACACUGGAACUGAGACACGGUCCAGACUCCUACGGGAGGCAGCAGUGGGGAAUAUUGCACAAUGGGCGCAAGCCUGAUGCAGCCAUGCCGCGUGUAUGAAGAAGGCCUUCGGGUUGUAAAGUACUUUCAGCGGGGAGGCGUUACCCGCAGAAGAAGCACCGGCUAACUCCGUGCCAGCAGCCGCGGUAAUUC
rnacentral:rRNA from 1 species